rnacentral:rRNA from 1 species
GACGAACGCUGGCGGCGUGCUUAACACAUGCAAGUCGAACGGAAAGGCCCUGCUUUUGUGGUGUGCUCGAGUGGCGAACGGGUGAGUAACACGUGAGUAACCUGCCCUUUACUUUGGGAUAACUUCAGGAAACUGGGGCUAAUACCGGAUAGGAUCUCCUGCUGCAUGGUGGGGGUUGGAAAGUUUCGGCGGUUGGGGAUGGACUCGCGGCUUAUCAGCUUGUUGGUGGGGUAGUGGCUUACCAAGGCUUUGACGGGUAGCCGGCCUGAGAGGGUGACCGGCCACAUUGGGACUGAGAUACGGCCAAGACUCCUACGGGAGGCAGCAGUGGGGAAUAUUGCACAAUGGGCGGAAGCCUGAUGCAGCAACGCCGCGUGCGGGAUGACGGCCUUCGGGUUGUAAACCGCUUUCGCCUGUGACGAAGCGUGAGUGACGGUAAUGGGUAAAGAAGCACCGGCUAACUACGUG